rnacentral:rRNA from 1 species
AUUGAACGCUGGCGGCAGGCCUAACACAUGCAAGUCGAGCGGUAACAGAGAGUAGCUUGCUACUUUGCUGACGAGCGGCGGACGGGUGAGUAAUGCUUGGGAAUAUGCCUUUUGGUGGGGGACAACAGUUGGAAACGACUGCUAAUACCGCAUGAUGUCUACGGACCAAAGUGGGGGACCUUCGGGCCUCACGCCAAAAGAUUAGCCCAAGUGGGAUUAGCUAGUUGGUAAGGUAAUGGCUUACCAAGGCAACGAUCCCUAGCUGGUUUGAGAGGAUGAUCAGCCACACUGGGACUGAGACACGGCCCAGACUCCUACGGGAGGCAGCAGUGGGGAAUAUUGCACAAUGGGCGCAAGCCUGAUGCAGCCAUGCCGCGUGUGUGAAGAAGGCCUUCGGGUUGUAAAGCACUUUCAGUCAGGAGGAAAGGGUGUGUUUUAAUAGAGCAUAUCUGUGACGUUACUGACAGAAGAAGCACCGGCUAACUCCGUGCCAGCAGCCGCGGUAAUACGGAGGGUGCGAGCGUUAAUCGGAAUUACUGGGCGUAAAGCGUACGCAGGCGGUUUGUUAAGCGAGAUGUGAAAGCCCCGGGCUCAACCUGGGAACUGCAUUUCGAACUGGCAAACUAGAGUGUGAUAGAGGGUGGUAGAAUUUCAGGUGUAGCGGUGAAAUGCCGUAGAGAUCUGAAGGAAUACCGAUGGCGAAAGGCAGCCACCUGGGUCAACACUGACGCUCAUGUCCGAAGCGUGGGGAGCAAACAGGAUUAGA